ACGGCUCAGUAACACGUAGUCAACCUAACUCGUGGACGUGGAUAACCUCGGGAAACUGAGAAUAAACCACGAUAGAUCAUAGUGCCUGGAAUGGCUUAUGGUCCAAACAGUUUACUGCCAUGGGAUGGGACUGCGGCCUAUCAGCUUGUUGGUGAGGUAAUGGCCCACCAAGGCGAUUACAGGUACGGGCUCUGAGAGGAGAAGCCCGGAGAUGGGUACUGAGACACGGACCCAGGCCCUAUGGGGCGCAGCAGGCGAGAAACCUUAGCAAUGUGCGAAAGCACGACUGGGUCAGUCCGAGUGAUUCCUGAUAAAGGAGUCUUUUGCUUGUCCUAAAAGCACAGGUGAAUAAGGGGUGGGCAAGUCUGGUGUCAGCCGCCGCGGUAAUACCAGCACCUCGAGUGGUCAGGACGUUUAUUGGGCCUAAAGCAUCCGUAGCCGGCUUUGCAAGUCCUCGGUUAAAUCCACCUGCUCAACAGAUGGGCCGCUGGAGAUACUACAAAGCUAGGGAGUGGGAGAGGCAGACGGUAUUCAGUGGGUAGGGGUAAAAUCCUCUGAUCCAUUGAGGACCACCAGUGGCGAAGGCGGUCUGCCAGAACACGUUCGACGGUGAGGGAUGAAAGCUGGGGGAGCAAACCGGAUUAGAUACCCGGGUAGUCCCAGCUGUAAACGAUGCAGACUCGGUGAUGGACUAGCUUUAUGCUAGUCCAGUGCCGCAGGGAAGCCGUUAAGUCUGCCGCCUGGGUAGUACGGUCGCAAGACUGAAACUUAAAGGAAUUGGCGGGGGAG
rnacentral:rRNA from 1 species